GAUGAACGCUGGCGGCGUGCCUAAUACAUGCAAGUCGAGCGAACAGACGAGGAGCUUGCUCCUCUGACGUUAGCGGCGGACGGGUGAGUAACACGUGGAUAACCUACCUAUAAGACUGGGAUAACUUCGGGAAACCGGAGCUAAUACCGGAUAAUAUAUUGAACCGCAUGGUUCAAUAGUGAAAGACGGUUUUGCUGUCACUUAUAGAUGGAUCCGCGCCGCAUUAGCUAGUUGGUAAGGUAACGGCUUACCAAGGCAACGAUGCGUAGCCGACCUGAGAGGGUGAUCGGCCACACUGGAACGGAGACACGGUCCAGACUACUACGGGAGGCAGCAGUAGGGAAUCUUCCGCAAUGGGCGAAAGCCUGACGGAGCAACGCCGCGUGAGUGAUGAAGGUCUUCGGAUCGUAAAACUCUGUUAUUAGGGAAAAACAAAUGUGUAAGUAACUAUGCACGUCUUGACGGUACCUAAUAAGAAAGCCACGGCUAACUACGUG
rnacentral:rRNA from 1 species